rnacentral:lncRNA from 1 species
ACGGUUGUAAUUAGACAUUUGGAAAAUGCAGCAUUUUGCUUUCACUCAUCGCUCAAAGGAACAGGGACUUCAGUUGUGGUUCUGGGUUUAACUUUCCUCCAUGCACUAGGAGAAAUUUGGGCUUAUUUAGUCCCAGGUCAUUUUGGCAUCUAUCACAAAGUGUGUUUACAGGAUUCACAACAAUAUCUGAGGAUUUGUUCUUCUUGUAAAGCUGGUAAGAGUGAUGUGGUUAAUCUUCUUCACUGUGUUCCAAAUGUAUGCCCUGUUCCUCAGACUGCCUCAGACUGUCUUCAAGGUCUCUGGACAAGGUGAACCACUAUGGAUUUAAAGAUUUAAUCAGACAGGACUCCAGCUGCUUAGAUUUAUCUGUCUUCAUGUUGGUCAUCUGAGUCACUCUGGCAUAAGUGAUGCAACUGAGUAGUAUAAACCACAAACAUUUAAAUCAUUUUCAGAUUGCCUUGUUUAGAAAAGUGAGGCUUGUGUCAAGAACAUGCAGAUUAAAGGAUCCCUUCAUAAGAGUAACAGUAACCCCAAAUUUAAAGGACCAUUCGUAACAAAGUGAGGUAGCAGAUUACUCUCUUGUCAGCUUAAUGGUGGCUACACAUGAAAAAGGCCAGCCUUGAGUUUGUGCUGCUUGUCUUUUGUGUGUCAAACAGCUUUCCAGGUAAGACUCACACUUAAGAUUGCAG